ACACUCACUUAGCAGAGGAGAGCGACGGAGAGGAGACAGCACUUUGGAGCUGGGAGUUUGAUCUGGAUUUUAGAGUAAAGAGUGAGAUAUUGAAAGAGGAUGGAGAGGGCUGGGGCGUCAACCCAAAAGCCCAGAGCGAUCAGGCAAGGACACAAAUGUCCAAUAUGUGGGCUGGAGUACGCAGACUUAAUGCAGCACCUUAAACUAGGUGAACGUGUGGUCAACAGAACAGAACUGGACCUGCUAUCUAAGCUGGCACACAGACAUUUCACGGCGAGCUUGGAUUGCCCGGUACGUAACUGCAACUCCAGGAAGAUGAACAGGCUGGACAAGCACCUUCUAAAAGUGCACAAACUGGAU